UACGUAGGGGGCUAGCGUUGUCCGGAAUCAUUGGGCGUAAAGCGCGCGUAGGCGGCCCGGUAAGUCCGCUGUGAAAGUCAAAGGCUCAACCUUUGAAUGUCAGCGGAUACUGCCGGGCUAGAGUCCGGAAGAGGCGAGUGGAACUCCUGGUGUAGCGGUGGAAUGCGCAGAUAUCAGGAAGAACACCAGACGGCGAAGGCAGCUCGCUGGGACGGUACUGACGCUGAGGCGCGAAAGCGUGGGGAGCGAACAGG
rnacentral:rRNA from 1 species